UACGUAGGGGGCUAGCGUUGUCCGGAAUCAUUGGGCGUAAAGAGCGCGUAGGCGGCCAGAUAAGUCCGGUGUGAAAGUCACAGGCUCAACCUGUGAAUGCCGCUGGAAACUGUCUGGCUAGAGUCCGGAAGGGGCGAGUGGAAUUCCUGGUGUAGCGGCGAAAUGCGCAGAUAUCAGGAGGAACACCAAUGGCGAAGGCAGCUCGCUGGGACGGUACUGACGCUGAGGCGCGAAAGCUAGGGGAGCAAACGGG
rnacentral:rRNA from 1 species